rnacentral:rRNA from 1 species
GAUGAACGCUGGCGGCGUGCCUAAUACAUGCAAGUCGAGCGAACGGACGAGAAGCUUGCUUCUCUGAUGUUAGCGGCGGACGGGUGAGUAACACGUGGAUAACCUACCUAUAAGACUGGGAUAACUUCGGGAAACCGGAGCUAAUACCGGAUAAUAUUUUGAACCGCAUGGUUCAAAAGUGAAAGACGGUCUUGCUGUCACUUAUAGAUGGAUCAGCGCUGCAUUAGCUAGUUGGUAAGGUAACGGCUUACCAAGGCAACGAUGCAUAGCCGACCUGAGAGGGUGAUCGGCCACACUGGAACUGAGACACGGUCCAGACUCCUACGGGAGGCAGCAGUAGGGAAUCUUCCGCAAUGGGCGAAAGCCUGACGGAGCAACGCCGCGUGAGUGAUGAAGGUCUUCUGAUCGUAAAACUCUGUUAUUAGGGAAGAACAUAUGUGUAAGUAACUGUGCACAUCUUGACGGUACCUAAUCAGAAAGCCACGGCUAACUACGUG